UUGAUUUGUGUUGUUGUGAAAAUGCGUGCGGCUAGCGUUGGAUGACGCCCUCUAUCAUCCGUGUCCGCACUGCAUCCCUGCCCGCGUACGGAUGCAGUACGAAAUUUCAGAACAUGACCCCGUUCAAAAGUAUUUCAGGAUCCGACCCUUUUCCUACUAUCAGGAUCGAUGACGGUAACGUAUACCAGCCUAUCGCCGAGACACCUGGCAUUAGGAUGCACG
rnacentral:lncRNA from 1 species